AGGGAUUUAGCUCAGUGGCAUAAGCACCUGCCUGGCAAGUGUGAGGUCCUGAGUUCGAUUCCCGGUAUCCCAG
rnacentral:tRNA from 1 species